rnacentral:lncRNA from 1 species
CUGUACACACUUUUCUUAUCAACAAAUGAGUCAACAACCUCCAAUCUUCAUCUUCUUGAUCGAUUGAUCCUUAUACAUGUUAACUAAUAUGGUAUCAGAGAUUUAGGAUUCGUCAUUAGCUCCAUAUUUUUAAUCAAUCAUCCACAAAAGACAUCCCCAAUUGAAUCUCCUUCACAUAGAUUUCCGACAUUCCUGCAUCUCUUCUUCCCCAAACAUAAAAUCGAAACCAUUGGCAAACUACAUUUGUUCCUGCUCAUCCCUCGAUCAACAUAACCGCUAUAUCAAAAUCGGCUUCUCAAAAAUCCAUAUUUCAACACAGAUUAUCCAUUACUUUCGGGCGUCUCAAAUUUCGAAUAAAUAUUACAACAAGAUUGUCUACUUUUCUUUUCAACAAUCAAUGCAUUCUUUGGCAAAAUGCAUCAUGCAUCUCAUGGUAAAUUUUCUUUUCCAAAAGACUACCUAUUUUGAGGUUAAGAAUCAGGGCACCUAAACCUAUGAUUAUUCUCAUCUUGAAGCCCUCUUGAAUCAUCACAAAAGCUUUGUUAGUAAUUAUCAAAUCGAUUUGGUUGUUCUUGAAUCAGAAUCUCAAUCUCAUAAGCAUCUCAAUUUCACAAUUUAGAUUGAACUGGUAAUAGAGAUUUUACAAUCUCUAAAGUCAUCUUCUUUGGAAUUGGUCAAUAUUCUUUUACGGACUAAGUAAUUAUGUCAUAGUAUACAACAAAUAUCUACGCUUCUAUGGAGCAAUUACACAAGAAUCAUGAUAUGGUGCAACAACACAUGUUCAAGUACACUGCCAAUUCUGAUGUAACAGAUGCAUAUUAUCUUAUGGAGCUUGAUAUGGGCAUAUUUAACUAUAAAAUUCAUGCAUUAUCUUAAUAUUUUAUGUUGUUUUUGUCUCAUUUAAUGAACAAAACGUGCUUAAUUAGUUUGGAAUUUCAUUUUUCAGCAACAAUGACAUGCUCGGGUGGAAAAGGAAGCGGAACUAGCGAUUGGAAGCUUGGAUCUUGGAUUUUGAAGAAAGAAGGAUGUUGUUGGACAACUUGACCCCUCGUCAGUGUUUUGGUCAUAUCUCAUGAACCGUAACUCCGAUUGACAGGAUGAAAAAUGUUCUGAAAACUAGACACAAUUUCGGACGAUUUUCGUGUUUUGAGAAAAUGCUGAUUCCAAACGGACUCGACGAUUAGGCCAUAAACUCGACAAGUCACGUCGAACUUUCGCGAUUCUGGACGCGCUAACUUGCCGUACACGGGUUUUAAGUGACGGACUCGCCGAUUAGGUCACUGGACUCGACGAGUCACCUCUGUUUUGUGAAAAUCUAAAUAAAGGGCAUUCUUGCCUGAUACCCUAGCAUAUAGAUGAACCCUUGGAGGCCAAUUGUCGACUAAAGGUGUUGUUGGAGUGUGGGAAGCUAAGGAAUCAACCCUACAUUCAAUUUUAAGGAGAAUCAAGGCAAAAUAAAGUUUAUUCUUUACCUAAUCUCUUGUUUGAACUAUGUUUUUACCAAUUGAUUUCGUUUUUGAGCUUGUUUCUGCUGUAAUCAUGAGUUAAAACUCAUACCUUCUAUUUAGGAUAGAUGAUUUUGUGAUUAUGGUUUGAUUAUGUGGUUGGAUUAAUUUAAUUUGGUGAACUUUGUUUUAUUAAGCUUGUUAAAAACCCUUAUGCAUUAACCAUAACUAUUCUCUGUUAAUUGCUAAGUAAUUAAGCUGCAUGAACAUCUCUUAAUUGCUUAUCUCAUAUAAUUUAUGUGAACACAUUGCUAUAUGCCUAGGAAUAGUGAAUAUGAAACUAGGAUUAACUAGAUAAUGGGUAAAUUUAGGGGUGAGCAAAAACCGCACCGCAACUAAAAUUAACCGCAAAAACCGCAUAAACCACAAUCGAAAAACCGCAACCGCAAUAAAAACCAAUGGUGAGGUUUUCUGUUUUUCAAAAACCGCAAAUUUGCAGUGCGGUGCGGUUAUUAGUUUCCAAAAACCGCAAAAAAACCGCACCGCACCGCAUAUAUUAUAUACAAUUUUUUUUAUCAGUUAUUAAUUUAUUAAAUAUUAAAAAUAAGACAAGUUUCAUGAAUGAAAGACGGAUAAAAUACUAGAAGACAAAAGUGUUAGUUUUUUCUUAUGUUUAACUUUAUAAAAAGGAUGAAAUUAGACAAUUUUAAGAUAUUUAUUGUUAAUUACUAUUGAUUUGACGUUUUUAAGAUAUUAGUUGUUUGUGGUUUAAGUUAGAUACUUACUUGUCUUAUACAUUAUGGUUUUUUUUAUUAUUACAAGUAAUAUGUUUGAACUCUUAAAACUAUCUGAGCUCUAAAUUAUGGUUAAAAACCACACAAAAUAAUCGCACCUUCAUGUGGUUAAUAACCGCAACACAAAAAAAAACAAAACCGCACCACAACAAUAACCGCCUAACCGCACCGCAAAAAUAACCGCACCAUGCGGUUUUGAAAAUGGAUUAACCGCAUUUGCGGUUAGUGGUGAUGUUUUGGCUAAUAACCGCACCGAACCGCACCGCGCUCACCCCUAGGUAAAUUAAUGUGUGAGCUUGUAUGAUACACCAUCAACAAGAGGUUAAUUGAAUCACCAAUUUAAUUAGCUAAUUACAAGUCUUAUUUAACCCGAAUCAAUAAACUAGGAAACUCAUUGGUUUAAUCAACUAAUCACUGCUUGAAUUAAUUUGUUUUCUAAGGAUUAGUAAUAACAAACGUGAACCUAAUCAUACUAAUCGGUAGCCAAUGCCAAUUAAUCCAUUGCACUUGUCAUAAAAUCAACCAUAGGAAUAAAUGAUUCGAACCUAAACAGAAGUCUCCUUAAUUAUUGAAUUUAGUUGAUUUUUAUUUGCUUAGCUCUUAGUUUCUUAGUUUAAGUUUUAGUUAAUUGUUUAAGUUUCUAGUCUUGCAAAACUAGAGAAAACCCUCUUUCUAUUACUUGUUUUAUUUAGAUAAUAUUAGCAUUUAUUUUAAUUGUUUACCGUUCCCUGUGUUCGAUACCCUACUUACCUGAACUAAACUGCUAAUCGAUAGGUACACUGUCUUUCGUGUGUUUGUCUUUGUGUUUAAGUUAGUAGGAUUAAAACUAGUGCAUUUCACACACAUAAAGUUUUUGGCACCGUUGUCGCGUAACGGUUCUAAAUAGUUAAUUUUAUUUGCUAAUUGCUAUCAUAUAUUUUUAUUUUUUUUAUAUAGUUUAAUUUUUAUUUAUUAUGUAUUUUCCAAAUCUCGAUGCAUUUGAUACUUUUCUUGAGGAAGUAGUACAGGAAAUUGAGCAAGAAGAUGAGGAGUGUGGAUCGGAUGAAGAUUUGAAGAAAUUUGAUAGAUGGUUAAAUAACAUUUUGUCUAACGAUCAAGAACAAUUUGAGUCACAAGAGCUAGAUUUGCAAGAUGAAGAAUUUAAUCCAGAAAGAGAUUUGGAGGAGUUGCAAAGGUUGCUAGCAGAGAGGUCGGACGAAGAACAAGAACAAUCUGAAUUGUAGGAACCAAGUCAUGGUUUGACCAUUACCACGACAUGCCCCCCUGUAUUUCCGGUUUGUGUUUCGAAGCAUGGGGUGACAUUUCCAAAGUUGGAGAAAGUUCUGAAGCGCGAUCCAUUUUUUAUUAGUAUCCGACCGGUUCCAACCCUUGUCAAGAUUUUUGGUUUUAUGAAUUAAAGCUCGUUUGGCCAAUUUUUGAAGCAAAGAGUCGAAUUUUACAAAUUGAUCCAAAGAAAAUAUUUAAUGCAAUAGAUGGAUGGGCAUCGAAUUUAUUAGAAGUUUAUUAAGUUGGGAGUCCAGCUAAAGACUCGCACAAAAAGAAGCCCUUGCGGGAGGCAACCCGUCAUUAGAGUUUGUUUUUCUUUUUCUUUCUAAACUUCUAGUAUUUAGGGAUAAUUUAGGAUUUUUAUUUUGAUGUUUUUUUUAUUACUUGGUAUUUGUUUUUGAUCUUUUCAGAAUAUAGGGUGAGGGAUAGAAUGAACGAAUAAAGUGUGAGGAAAUAAAGUGAAGGGUCGAGUCGUAGAUGAGAAGAUUAGAAGAUUUGAGUGAUUUUAUAAGUCCGAUGGUUUUAACGGUUAAAAAGGAGUUUCGUCAUUGAAGAAUAUAAGGAGGUGUGUUACCUUAAUACCCUCUUUGACCUCAAAAACAGACUUGAAGCAGAAAGAAGAAUUUGCACGAUCAGAGCCGAAAAGUUGUCGGGUGCACCCUUAUAACUCGACGAGUUCCAACGAAAAUUCACGAUUUCUGCCCAUAUGACGAUUCAACUCGGCGAGUCUCCACAUAAAACUCGACAAGUUGCUCAUUAUUUUAUCUUUGAGUCGACGAUUUGAUUCAAUUCAAGGCGACAAUUGGCUAUAUUUUUGAAGACCAUUUCUAGGCGAUUCCAAGAUGCUUUUUUGCCACAUAUUUAGAGUUGUGAACCACACGAGAUUUGACGCCCAAAGCAUGGAUGCGCUGUUCUCAUGCCAAAGUCAGCUGAAGUUGGAGCUUUACAUGAAGAAGAUCAACCUCACGACUACUAUCCCAGGGGAGUUUGUUCCAAUUCUCUCUUUGCUUUUAUGUUUUUUUAUCAUGCGUAAUAUGCAAUGGGGGCAUUGCAUAAAUUAAGUGUGGGUAGGGGUUGGUUACAUUAGUUAAAAUUUUAGUUAAAUUUUGAAAAUUUUGAAAGUUGGUUACAUUAGUUAAAAUUUUAGUUAAAUUUUGAAAAUUUUGCAUAAAAAUUGGUAGGUCUAAAUUAGAAAAUUUUGGUAAAAGCAAUUAGGGUUCAUGCUAGUAUUAUGUUCAAUGAUUCUUUGAAGACCCAAAUGUUUAGUUGAGUUUAUACACGUUAUAAUGCAUUUGUGGCCCUCUUUAUUCUAGUGAAAUCAUGGGACAAAAACACAACCUCGCUUAGUUUGAGGAAUGCAAUAUGUUUAGCACCGUGUACUAGAAAUGUAUCCAGGAAAAAUUUAUCUUUAACCAAUAAAGGUUGAAGUUGAGCGCCCCUGCUUAAGCAUGUAGGUUUUCAGUGAAAAAAAAAAGUGAGUUACAUGUGAAAAAAAGAAAAAAGAAAGAGAGAAUUACAAGAAAAAGUUGUAAGAAUUUUGGAGCAGUCAAAAGUAAAGAUCAAAUGAUCAAAGUUCUAAAAAAAAAGUGAAGAUACCAAAAAUUAAAAAGAUGGUGAAAUAUCAAAGAAGUGAAGAAUUCCAAAAGAGCUCCAUAGUGGUAUCGAAAAAAAGUUGUAAUUUUCUAGAUUAUGUAUGCUUGGGUUUCUUGACCAAAAAUACUUUGAGGUUAAGAAGUUUUCUGCGGAUGGAUCCGGAGGGAUGCAUAAAAUGAGCGUUGUUCAAAAGAAGUGAGCAGAUGUUUAUGAGGAUUGUGGGUAUUUAGAAGUAGGGGGUCCUUAGGAAAAAUUUUAGACGCAAAUGCAUGCAUUGCGGUCUUGGCAUAAUGGAUGGGUUUGAUUAGAAUUAUUUUAUGUAAUGCUCGUAUGCUAAAAUCCAGUUUUGCUUGGGGGCAAGCAAAAGUCAAGUGUGGGGUAUUUUGAUAUGGGCAUAUUUAGUUAUAAAAUUCAUGCAUUAUCUUAAUACUUUAUGUUGUUUUUGUCUCAUUUAAUGAACAAAACGUGCUUAAUUAGUUUAGAACUUCAUUUUUCAGCAACAAUGACAUGCUCGGGUGGAAAAGGAAGCGGAACUAGCGAUUGGAAGCUUGGAUCUUGGAUUUUGAAGAAAGAAGGAUGUUGUUGGACAACUUGACCCCUCGUCAGUGUUUUGGUCAUAUCUCAUGAACCGUAACUCCGAUUGACAAGAUGAAAAAUGUUCUGAAAACUAGACACAAUUUCGGACGAUUUUCGUGUUUUGAGAAAAUGCUGAUUCCAAACGGACUCGACGAUUAGGCCAUAAACUCGACAAGUCACGUCGAACUUUCGCGAUUCUGGACGCGCUAACUUGCCGUACACGGGUUUUAAGUGACGGACUCGCCGAUUAGGUCACUGGACUCGACGAGUCACCUCUGUUUUGUGAAAAUCUAAAUAAAGGGCAUUCUUGCCUGAUACCCUAGCAUAUAGAUGAACCCUUGGAGGCCAAUUGUCGACUAAAGGUGUUGUUGGAGUGUGGGAAGCUAAGGAAUCAACCCUACAUUCAAUUUUAAGGAGAAUCAAGGCAAAAUAAAGUUUAUUCUUUACCUAAUCUCUUGUUUGAACUAUGUUUUUACCAAUUGAUUUCGUUUUUGAGCUUGUUUCUGCUGUAAUCAUGAGUUAAAACUCAUACCUUCUAUUUAGGAUAGAUGAUUUUGUGAUUAUGGUUUGAUUAUGUGGUUGGAUUAAUUUAAUUUGGUGAACUUUGUUUUAUUAAGCUUGUUAAAAACCCU